rnacentral:tRNA from 1 species
GCGAAUGCCGAAGCUGACUACAUCGGUAAGAGCACUUGACUACGAAUCAAGAGGUCGUCGGUUCAAUUCCGACUAUUUGCG